rnacentral:lncRNA from 1 species
AGUGUCUGCCCUUUUCCAAACAGUUACCAACAAGGACUUCCCAGAUGGUUCUGUGUAACAAUCGGAUGCAGUCAGGAAUCUGUGAAGAAGCAGCUUUUGAAAAAGGUCCAGAAUGUGACACCCCCCAAAAAGAAGCAGGGAGCAACUCCUUCAAGAAAGAGGCGACGGGGCAUUAGCUUUGAGAGCAGCAGCAGCCAGGAGUCAUCUGCUGAUGACACCGAGUCCACUGCUUCAACUUUAAUCUUGGAAAGAUCACCACAGUCAAUAGGCAGUUCUCCAGAGGCUGAACAAGUGGAUGGAGGGCCUAAAACGACUGACAGCGCACAGAACCAGGCAAGACACUACAAAGUUCUGCAGGAGCUAUACAAAUCCAGGCCCAGACCCAACAGCAAGGAUGUUGCCCAGCUGUUGGACCUUGAAUACCAAGCAAGACGGGCUUAUAUUGACACUGAUGUUAUGAAGGAGCAGGACAGGCCUACCAAGAUUCUUGAAGCAUAUCCCUGCUUCAGAGAAGUGGAUCAUGUAAGCAAAUCAAAUCAUUUUAAGUUUG